rnacentral:rRNA from 1 species
AUGAUCUAUUUCUCUGGGACUUUCAAUCUUCACGAUCCUCUCUGCUCGGAUGGGGAAAUGAAAAUUCUUUUUUAUUCUUUAUUAUUGAAUCAUGUACCAUUUGUUUUCAGGGUGGGAUCCGAUUAUCGGCGUGUUUACAUUUAUCACCUCUUUGUGUUUCUUUCUGUGCAGCGUGUGUUUUUCAGAGCUUCAAAUGAAAGGAGGACGAAGGGCGAUUUAGGAAAUUGUUGUUGUGGUCACGAAGACAUCAGGCCAAAGGUAACCGGGUGCAACCGUGCAAGUGCUAUUUAUUAUUCGACUGUAUUUUGUUUAUUCCAGAUGAAAUCCAUACUAUUUAUAAGGACCAGCAAAAAUGAUGGCGCGACAAAUAAACGAUAG